rnacentral:miRNA from 1 species
AGGUCUCACCUGGAUGGCUGUGAGUUGGCUUAAUCUCAGCUGGCAACUGUGAGACGUUCAUACAAUUCCUCACAGUGGUCUCUGGGAUUAUGCUAAACAGAGCAAUUUCCUUGCCCUCAUGGAUCAAAAGACUUGCAUGGCAACCAUAAU